rnacentral:misc_RNA from 1 species
CGUAGGUGAACCUGCGGAAGGAUCAUUAUUGUAUAACCGAGGUGCGAGGGCUGUCGCUGACCCGAAAGGUCGUGCACGCCCGAGUGCCCUCACACACAUCCAUCUCACCCCUAUGUGCACCACCGCGUGGGUCCCCCUUUGGCUUGUUCGGAGGGGGGCUUACGUUUUCACACAAACUUUGUAUGCAGUGUAGAAUGUAUUUUUUGUUUUUGCGAUCACGCAAUCAAUACAACUUUCAACAACGGAUCUCUUGGCUCUCGCAUCGAUGAAGGACGCAGC